rnacentral:rRNA from 1 species
AGAUGUGAAAUCCCCGGGCUCAACCUGGGAACUGCAUUUGAAACUGGNAAGCUNGAGUNNUGUAGAGGGGGGUGGAAUUCCANGUGUAGCGGUGAAAUGCGUAGAUAUNUGGAGGAANACCGNUGGCGAAGGCGGNCCCCUGGACNNNNACUGACGCUCANGNGCGAAAGCGUGGGGAGCAAACAGGAUUAGAUACCCUGGUAGUCCACGCCGUAAACGAUGUCGACUUGGAGGUUGUGCCCUUGAGGCGUGGCUUCCGGAGCUAACGCGUUAAGUCGACCGCCUGGGGAGUACGGCCGCAAGGUUAAAACUCAAAUGAAUUGACGGGGGCCCNCACAAGCGGUGGAGCAUGUGGUUUAAUUCGAUGCAACGCGAANAACCUUACCUGNUCUUGACAUCCACAGAANUUCCCAGAGAUGGGNACGUGCCUUCGGGAACUGUGAGACAGGUGCUGCAUGGCUGUCGUCAGCUCGUGUUGUGAAAUGUUGGGUUAAGUCCCGCAACGAGCGCAACCCUUAUCCUUUGUUGCCAGCGGUUANGNCGGGAACUCAAAGGAGACUGCCAGUGAUAAACUGGAAGAAGGGGGGGAAUGACNUCAAGUCAUCAUGGCCCUUACGACCAGGGCUACACACGUUGCUACAAUGGCAUAUACAAAGAGAAGCGACCUCGCGAGAGCAAGCGGACCUCAUAAAGUAUGUCCUAAUCCGGAUUGGAGUCUGCAACUCCACUCCAUGAAGUCNGAAUCNCUAGUAAUCGUGGAUCANAAUGNCACGGUGAAUACNUUCCCGGGCCUUGUACACNCCGCCCGUCACACCAUGGGAGUGGGUUGCAAAANAAGUAGGUAGCUUAACCUUCGGGAGGGCGCUUACCACUUUGUGAUUCAUGACUGGGGUGAAGUC